UUGCUUAUACGCGUUCUUGAAAACGCGUGACACGUGCCAGAUAACAAUAUCACUAAAUACUUGCCGCUUAAAUUGACAGUUCUACCACGACGAAUUCUCUGCAUUAUUAUUAUAUUAAGGCUAUCAAUUUCUUCUCGACUAUGUUCAUCAAUUUUACACGCACACCCACACGAUCUGUAUCUGUGUACGUGCACACACGAUUAGGUAUAUAUUGUUCGCUAUUUAAUCCCAAUGAAUACAAUUGAUUAUAGUCUUAAUUUGUAAUGUUAAGCUUACACGAGUCUCAUUAUACCUCUUUUAUAGGAUUAAUCAUAUAAACAGACCGGUUACUGAAUCACCAUUAUCCCCAACUCCUUUUGAGAAUUCAAUCACAGUCGGCUUUAACUGAUUCGAUAUCAACUUCUCGAAAUUACAAUAUUAAUUCAAAUUCAUACAUCAAAAUUCGAACGAAUAUUUAUUUGAACGUUUCAUUUAUUGCUAAUAUUAAUGUAAGAUUCGAUUAAAAAUUGUAUAUAUAUAUUCGGGGAUCCUUUUUUAUGACAAUACUCGAUGAAAUCUUGAUUUAUGUUGAAAAUAGUCGGGAAAGGUGAAUUUUCGCAUAUCCUACGAGCUCAUGAGGUUCCACAUCGUUCACGCAUAAGCACAGUUUCCGGCUAUCUCCCCCGAUCGUGAUCAGUAUUGCGCUUGUAUGAUACAUACAGGCAGAGGCAUAAGUAAAUGCAUUUACGUUGUCUACUCGUAUAUGUUUAAAUAAAUCUAUUCUAUGACAAUAAGUUCUAAAGAAAAUCAGAAAAUAAGUUAAAAAAUGUUGAAAAUUCUUGGAUAUUGGUGUCCAUUGACAAACCAUCACCAAUGUUCUUCACUUUCACUUAUUCAAACCAUUAACGAAUUCAACUUUAAGAAAGGAAAGGAAAAGGAAUAGAAAAUGAAAGGAAAAAACUGGGUAAGGAAUAAUAGAAUUUCCGAGAAACGAGCGAUUUAAGUCCCGUCAUUUGACUUCUUCCAGGAUAUAAGUCGAUUCAAUUUGGUUAAUAAAUGGCUAAAUUGGAGAUCAACGUCAGUCAAGUAACUCUCGACAAUCCGACGUUUCUGGAAUUAUGUCCUAUCGAGAAUCAUUAUCUUCGAUAUCAUUUGCAAAAUGUUUUCUGCGCUUCGAGCUUCUGCCGCUUGCUUGAUUCGAAUGGUUAUCAUGGCAUCCCACCAUAAAGAA
rnacentral:lncRNA from 1 species